rnacentral:misc_RNA from 1 species
CGCACCUUGCGCUCUCUGGUAUUCCGGAGAGCAUGCCUGUUCGAGUGUCGUAACCCUCUCAAUCCAACUGGUCUUUAUUGAUUAUGUUGAAUUGGAUUUGGGCUUUGCCGUGUUACAGCGGCUAGCCUUAAAAGUAUUAGCUGAAUCUAGUCGUAGACUGGUUUGACUCGGCGUGAUAAUUAUCUGACCGCUGAGGACAUCGCAAGAUGGCCAGACGAGACAAUGAAUCGCUUCUAAUCGUCGUUUAACGACAAUUUACCACACCUUUGACCUCGGAUCAGGUAGGACUACCCGCUGAACUUAA